rnacentral:rRNA from 1 species
GACGUAGGGGACGAGCGUUGUCCGGAUUCAUUGGGCGUAAAGCGCGCGUAGGCGGUUUGGUAAGUCGGGUGUGAAAUCUCGGGGCUUAACUCCGAAACUGCAUUCGAUACUGCCGUGCUUGAGGACUGGAGAGGAGACUGGAAUUUACGGUGUAGCGGUGAAAUGCGUAGAUAUCGUAAGGAAGACCAGUGGCGAAGGCGGGUCUCGUGGACAGUUCCUGACGCUGAGGCACGAAGGCCAGGGGAGCAAACGGGG